AGGUAUAAUUCAAUGGUAGAGUACAUGCCUAGCAUUAGACCCUAGGUUCAAUUCCCAGUACCU
rnacentral:tRNA from 1 species